UACGUAGGGGGCAAGCGUUGUCCGGAUUUAUUGGGCGUAAAGAGCGUGUAGGCGGCCAGGGAGGUCCGUUGUGAAAACUCGAGGCUCAACCUCGAGACGCCGAUGGAAACCCCCUGGCUAGAGUCCGGAAGAGGAGAAUGGAAUUCCUGGUGUAGCGGUGAAAUGCGCAGAUAUCAGGAAGAACACCCGUGGCUAAGGCGGUUCUCUAGUACGGUACUGACGCUGAGACGCGAAAGCGUGGGAG
rnacentral:rRNA from 1 species